rnacentral:snRNA from 1 species
UCAAACAUUUCAACAUUUCGAUU